UACGAAGGGUGCAAGCGUUAAUCGGAAUUACUGGGCGUAAAGCGUGCGUAGGCGGUGACUUAAGUCUGUUGUGAAAUCCCCGGGCUCAACCCUGGGAAUGGCAAUGGAUACUGGGUCGCUAGAGUGUGAUAGAGGAUGGUGGAAUUCCCGGUGUAGCGGUGAAAUGCGUAGAGAUCGGGAGGAACAUCAGUGCGAAAGGCGGGCCAUCUGGAUCAACACUGACGCUGAGGCACGAAAGCGUGGGGAAGCAAAGCAGGGAUUAAGAAUAA
rnacentral:rRNA from 1 species